rnacentral:rRNA from 1 species
AUGGCCUUCCAUGAUGGCAAUGUAAAUCUUGAAAGCAUCAACACAUCAUUAAUUACUUUGAUCCCCAAGAAAGAAGUGCCACUUUCACCAAAUGACUUCAGGCCAAUUUCUUUGCUCAAUGGAGUGCUUAAAAUCAUUACAAAACUGUUGACAAAUAGACUGCAAAGAGUUAUCCUACAAAUGGUACACAUUAAUCAAUAUGGCUUCCUAAAAGACGGAGUGAUUCAAGAUUGUCUUGGAUGGGCAUAUGAGUACAUCCACCAAUGUCACAAGUCCAGGGAGGACAUGCUAGUAAUUAAACUGUACUUUGAAAAAAGCUUUUGCCACAAUUGA